GUAGGGAAUAUUGGACAAUGGGCGAAAGCCUGAUCCAGCCAUGCCGCGUGAAAGAUGAAGGCCCUCUGGGUUGUAAAUAUCUUUUAUCUGGGAAGAAACUCCUCUAUUCUUAGAGGCCUGACGGUACCAGAGGAAUAAGCACCGGCUAACUCCGUGCCAGCAGCCGCGGUAAUACGGAGGGUGCAAGCGUUAUCCGGAUUCACUGGGUUUAAAGGGUGCGUAGGCGGGUUGAUAAGUCAGUGGUGAAAGCUCCGGGCUUAACUUGGAAACUGCCAUUGAUACUGUCAGUCUUGAAUGUCGUAGAGGUAAGCGGAAUGUUGCAUGUAGCGGUGAAAUGCUUAGAUAUGUUACAGAACACCAAUUGCGAAGGCAGCUUACUAUGCGAUAAUUGACGCUGAGGCACGAAAGCGUGGGGAGCAAACAGGAUUAGAAACCCUUGUAGUCC
rnacentral:rRNA from 1 species